CUCUGAACUAUGAAAAUGUCAAUGUCUAAGGCUUCAUAAUAUUUGAGAUUCUUACUAACAUGUUAUUUCAAGGAAGAAGAAUUUGAGGUAGCCUACCUCUUCCAUCUCAUCUACAAAGUUUGGUAAUACUGGAAAAGUCUGUAUCGAUUGAUUGCCCACAGAUUUUUGUCCUUGAACUCCAAGAGGAAAAGAAAAUAUGAAAAUUUAUAGAAAGAUAACUUGAAGUUAUGGAGAAGAAAAUACCAUGAGUUCCUCAAAGCAAAUGGAUAAUGCAAUACAAUCAGCAUGGGCAACACUAACCCGGAAAGACUCCCCCUCUGCCAUAGACUAUUCUCUCUUAGAGGCUGUCUAUAGAGACUUGUUUAAAGUGACUAUGUGAACGGAUACCCUGCGAGCAUAAACUUCUUCAACGAGAAGUUUCUGUUUACCUCGCAUUUCUAACUUUUCACUAUACAAUUUCUCAUUUUUCCAAG